rnacentral:rRNA from 1 species
UACGGAGGGAGCUAGCGUUGUUCGGAAUUACUGGGCGUAAAGCGCGCGUAGGCGGUUAUUCAAGUCAGAGGUGAAAGCCCGGGGCUCAACCCCGGAACUGCCUUUGAAACUAGAUAACUAGAAUCAUGGAGAGGUCAGUGGAAUUCCGAGUGUAGAGGUGAAAUUCGUAGAUAUUCGGAAGAACACCAGUGGCGAAGGCGACUGACUGGACAUGUAUUGACGCUGAGGUGCGAAAGCCAGGGGAGCAAACGGG